AUGGCCAAAGCCGCCGCGUCGCUUCUCCCGGGUCUUCUCCCGACCCCGCCGACGAAGCCCUGCCUCAUCAUCCUGCCGGCUUCGUUCGCCUCCAAGACCAAGCCCGGCCGCGCCGACUCUGUCGAGAGGUGGGACGCGCACAAGAAGGACAAGAAGCCCCGGAGCCCAGCCUCGUCGUGCUCCAGCAGCUCAAGUCCAGGGCGCGCCUCCUCCUGCGAGCGUUGGGACAUAAACAAGCAGUUGUCCAGCGGCAGCCGCACGUCCUCAUCAUCAUCGUUGUCAAGCCAGCGAAGCAGCACGAGCUCCGGCGGGGCCACACCGUGCGGGAGGUGGGAUAGCAACAAGCGGCUGCCGCCCAGCCGCACGUCCUCCGCUGAUCGCUGGGACACGCACAAGAAGCCUAGCCCGGCACAAGCUGCCGCCGAGAGCUGGACGAGCGACAAGCAGGACCACAAGGAGGACGACACUACGGCGAUGGUUCUGAAACCGACAUCGCCGCGCAUAGGCCCCAUGUUCUCUGGCUCGAGCUUCCUCGCCUCGCCUGACCCCAGCAUGCUUCCAAUGCCGCCCUUCUUUCGCUCGCGGAACACGGGAGUGCUUCCCGUACAAGCCUUCUAG
rnacentral:rRNA from 1 species